rnacentral:lncRNA from 1 species
CACAGCUCCUACUCUUUCAACCACUGGGUAUGGACCAAAGUACCUUGCAGCAAGCUUUGCAUUGAUCCUACAAACCACUGACUGUUGUCUAUGGGCCCUUAGUUUAACAAAGACCCAUUCUCCUACCUCAAAGCUUCUAUCGCAUCUCUUCUUAUCAGCAAUUUGUUUCAUUCUGUCCUGAGCCUUCUGUAGCUGGUCCCUUAGUUGUCUAAGAGCUUCAU